rnacentral:tRNA from 1 species
GCGGACUUAGUACAGUGGUAGUACAUGAGCUUCCCAAGCUCAAAGGGCGGGUUCGAUUCCCGUAGUCCGCUCCA